rnacentral:sRNA from 1 species
GCCUAGCCCAGAUGGGAGCGGCAUCCUUGCUUGGCGGGGUUCGCCGAGCAAGAUAUAGCGUACAGCGGGACGACUC